rnacentral:rRNA from 1 species
GACGAACGCUGGCGGCGUGCUUAACACAUGCAAGUCGAACGGAAAGGCCCUGCUUUUGUGGGGUGCUCGAGUGGCGAACGGGUGAGUAACACGUGAGUAACCUGCCCUUGACUUUGGGAUAACUUCAGGAAACUGGGGCUAAUACCGGAUAGGAGCUCCUGCUGCAUGGUGGGGGUUGGAAAGUUUCGGCGGUUGGGGAUGGACUCGCGGCUUAUCAGCUUGUUGGUGGGGUAGUGGCUUACCAAGGCUUUGACGGGUAGCCGGCCUGAGAGGGUGACCGGCCACAUUGGGACUGAGAUACGGCCCAGACUCCUACGGGAGGCAGCAGUGGGGAAUAUUGCACAAUGGGCGGAAGCCUGAUGCAGCAACGCCGCGUGCGGGAUGACGGCCUUCGGGUUGUAAACCGCUUUCGCCUGUGACGAAGCGUGAGUGACGGUAAUGGGUAAAGAAGCACCGGCUAACUACGUGCCAGCAGCCGCGGUGAUACGUAGGGUGCGAGCGUUGUCCGGAUUUAUUGGGCGUAAAGGGCUCGUAGGUGGUUGAUCGCGUCGGAAGUGUAAUCUUGGGGCUUAACCCUGAGCGUGCUUUCGAUACGGGUUGACUUGAGGAAGGUAGGGGAGAAUGGAAUUCCUGGUGGAGCGGUGGAAUGCGCAGAUAUCAGGAGGAACACCAGUGGCGAAGGCGGUUCUCUGGGCCUUUCCUGACGCUGAGGAGCGAAAGCGUGGGGAGCGAACAGGCUUAGAUACCCUGAUAGUCCACGCUGUAAACGGUGGGUACUAGGUGUGGGGUCCAUUCCACGGGUUCCGUGCCGUAGCUAACGCUUUAAGUACCCCGCCUGGGGAGUACGGCCGCAAGGCUAAAACUCAAAGGAAUUGACGGGGCCCCGCACAAGCGGCGGAGCAUGCGGAUUAAUUCGAUGCAACGCGUAGAACCUUACCUGGGUUUGACAUGGAUCGGGAGCGCUCAGAGAUGGGUGUGCCUCUUUUGGGGUCGGUUCACAGGUGGUGCAUGGCUGUCGUCAGCUCGUGUCGUGAGAUGUUGGGUUAAGUCCCGCAACGAGCGCAACCCUUGUUCACUGUUGCCAGCACGUUAUGGUGGGGACUCAGUGGAGACCGCCGGGGUCAACUCGGAGGAAGGUGGGGAUGACGUCAAGUCAUCAUGCCCCUUAUGUCCAGGGCUUCACGCAUGCUACAAUGGCUGGUACAGAGAGUGGCGAGCCUGUGAGGGUGAGCGAAUCUCGGAAAGCCGGUCUCAGUUCGGAUUGGGGUCUGCAACUCGACCUCAUGAAGUCGGAGUCGCUAGUAAUCGCAGAUCAGCAACGCUGCGGUGAAUACGUUCCCGGG